UACAUGCCUGUCGGCACCACGCCGCGUGACGGAUGAAGGCCUCUGGGUCUGUAAACCUCUUUUAUCAAGGAAGAACAUCUGACGGUACUUGAUGAAUAACCCUCGGCUAAUUCCGUGCCAACGCCCGCGGAAUACGGGAGUGGCAAGCGUUAUCCGGAAUUAUUGGGCGUAAAGCGUCCGCAGGCGGCCCUUCAAGUCUGCUGUUAAAAGGUGCAUCUUACCUCCGUCAUGGCCCUGGAAUCUGUUGGGCUUGAGUGUGGUAGGGGCAGAGGGAAUUCCCGGUGUAACGGUGAAAUGUUCCAAUAUCGGGAAGAACACCAGUGGCGAUGGCGCUCUGCUGGGCCAUCACUGACGCUCCUUUGGAAAGCCCUGGGAGCGAAAGGGAUUAGAUACCCCUGUAGUCCUGGCCGUAAACCAUGAACACUCCGUGUCGGGGGAAUCGACCCCCUCGGUGUCAGGGUUUCCGCCCUUCUGUUCCGCCUGGAGAGUACGCACGCUCCUGUGAAACUAGUAGGAAUUGACGGAUGAA
rnacentral:rRNA from 1 species